AAUAUAUCCUCCCGGGUUGUGAUCAAACGGACAUUCCAAGAACAACAAGGCAUUCAUGGAAAAAAAGAAAAGCAAAGAACGAUGCAAAUAUUGACCAGCCAAACCAGGAUUCUACCAGAGGCCAUGCCAGUUCUGAUGCAUGGAUGCCCCUAAGUAAACCAGCUUUGGAUGGACCAUCGAGAACUACAGAAGACAGC